ACCUGAUAUUUUGCUGAGGGGACUAGUGAGAUUCCAAAGCUCAAUUUGCUAGAGUGUGCAAAAUGCUAAUCAGCUUCAGCAGUCAGCAAAGUGGCAGGGGGGCGUGCCUCUGUAAAGGGGGGGCGAGGAGGCCGCCCUGACUGGGAGCCAGGAGGAGUCUGGCUGACUCAGCGACUCCUGCCAAGUGCAUGUCCCUCCUCAUUCAUUUCCAUGGUGACCUUUUCUCAGAGAUCAAGGGGAGGGCCGAGAACAACUGAGAACAACCAUGUUUCUUUGCACCAAGAAAAUUGAUAUGCGUCAGGGUCAUUGACAAGAGAAUCAAGGGGUUGUCCAAAUUGGGAGAUGCCAGUUUUGAUAAAUGCUUCCAUAUCUCUAGAGCUGGACCAUUUAAAGUCCCCAGUUAGAUUGGAAAAAGACUUUGGAAAUCCAUCUCUGCAUAGUGGCUCUGAGUUUGGUACCUAGCUCAGUAAAUAUUUGCUGAAUGAAUGAAUGAAUGAAUGAAUGAAGUUCAAGUUAUAUCCAGUUUGUGAUCCAUUCAGGUCUCUAAGAUCCAGUCUCUAACCCACUCAGCUGGGAGUUUCCUUCUGUUUCAUCUUGCAGCUAGGACAACUUUGGCACCCAAAAGGAUGCUUCUUACCUAUACAAGUUCUCUGGCUGAAUGUUGCUAUGAUACAGUCUUGCCAAGAGCUGAUCACUCAGCAACAAGGGGCAACAUCUGAAUGGGACUGAUUCAGCCAGAAGUCCAUUUUUGGCUCAGAUACACAUGAUGAGCCAAACUCAUGUGAGACCAAACUUAGCCUUUUCCUACUCCGUCACUGGUCAUCAGGUACCUCUGGAACCAUGGGGUCUGCUCUAUGGUAUGGCUCAAUGGCAGAGCUCCUUACCCCACAGGUUGGACUUGCUGGUCUAAAUCCUACUGUAAGCUGGCAUCUGUCUUGGUCAACCACAUCAAUAUGUCAGAGCACCACCUUCAACAUACAAGGAACACUCAAGUGGAAAUCCCAUCAUAUUUCCAUGAACCAUGGUUGAUUUGAUGAAGGCAGUCAUAUUCUGUGGGUCAGGCCCCUGGCUGACACACUAACCUCACUGCUUAUGACGAUACUUGUGAUGACAGUUGACCCUCUGUCUCAUGGGUUCUACGGCUGCGCAUUCAACCAUCUGCAGAUGGAAAAUAUUCAAGAAAAGAAAUUGCACCUGUGCUGAACAGGAUAUCUCCCCGUUGGAAAGACGGAGAAGAAGUUCAGGUGGACGGUCACACUGCAAGUCAUCAACCUGUUAUCCUCUGCUUCUGCCAAUCUUUCAGCUAUUUGGAAGUGAACUUGGGAUUUGUUAAAGCAUUUUCAGUUCCUUUGCUGAUAAACAUAAACAAGCUACACUCCACAACAAGUCUGAUAUGGUCCUUCCAACUACUUAAGAAUUGUGCACCUUCUGGACAUUUCUAACAACCAAGAAGACAUUGUCACAUUUUAUAUCCUGUAAUUUGUUUGUUUUAUGGGAAUAGAAUUUGUCUCCCAACUGUAAAACCCCACUAUACUGUUUGGAUCUUGUUUUCAAGACAUUUGGCAGAGAAUUCCUGCCCAUGCAGAGCUGUAGUGUGUCUGUGCACAAUUCCACUAUGGUACAGUGAGGAGGUUCUGUGCUUGGCUCAAGUGUAAAUGUUUGGAGGAUUGCAAUCAUUUUCUCUCAGUAAAAUAUAAUUUACUGCUUCUGGAGCAAAAACAAAAUUAAUAAAUGAUAUAGCACGCAAAACUGUCUUGGCCUUGUACUGCUCAGCAGAGUUUUAGUGAGUUACACUUGAAUGAAUGGGAAACACAUGGAUGAGAUGUCCCUGGUGGCUACUCUGGACUCAGAGAUGGAAGGGGGGAUGUGCUUCACUAAAUGCACCACAUUUUUCUGAACACCAGGUUUGAAAAUGUGUUUGGAUUAUUCCCUGGAGCCCGUGGAAGACUAGCCUUUCUCCUCUGUCCCUAAUAGCACAUAUUGGCAAGGUUGGUGGGAGCUCCCCUGUGUCUGUGCCUGUGGCCAGGGGAUGAGAGCGGGGGUGAGGAGAGUAGAAAGGGACAGUACUAGGACUCUUGAGCCUUGACAGUAGUGAUGCUGAGUUAAAAUUAGGUUUAUUUCUUCCUUUGAUAUAGAAUUGCACUCCAGGGACUUUUCUCGGAAAAAUUUCAUAAUGAGCCAGUGGGACCAAGGGAUCUUUCCAGAACUUUGAGACAAUGAGGGAGACUCUGAACACGGGUUCUCAUUGACAGUUGGUUCUGCCAUGGGCCAGGAAUCUGGGUGUCAGGUCCUCAAAACCCAAUCUUGUUUCUUUAUUGAUAGAGGAGGGUGCUGACACUCUCUCUUCUUCAACUGUGAUAGAUAGUAAAGUUACCUUGUCUGGAAUCCUCUCUCCUCCUGGACACCUCAUGCCUGAUUACUUAAGGCAGGUGCUGUUACAAGAUUCCAAAAAAGACAUUUCCUCAGAGGAGGAAAAUGAUCCACUCAAGGUUGCCCAACUAUCAGUCGCAGAGCUGAGCCCCAGAGUGAUUUAUUCUGAGCCCCAACAGCCACACAGGUGACCUGGCUGAGCCCUCAAGAUGCUGUGAGCAAACUGGCAGGAAGCGUCCCCGUUUUCACCUCUCCUCUCCCCUGAGCCCAGGAGCAGGCCUUUCUCCUUGGACAGCCACACUGGUCCAUUUCUUCUUCCCUCACUUUCCUGCUGGUGAGUCACUGAACAAUGACAGGCUCCGUGAAUAGGCUAGUGUUUAUACCCUGCUUUUCUCCAGCCGGACAGACUUCAGGGUGGACAUUCCAUGCGUGUGGGUGUCCAGCUUAGACCCGGAUUCCUCCAGCGGCGUUGGUAGCAUUCUUCUGUUAUUUCUGCUCAGUUCCUACCUGUUUUCCCUCCUGUUGGCCACACUGCCUUUAUAGCACCAGAAAGGUCCUUUCUGAAGGAUUGAAGAUGCGAUUCUUCAGUUUCAGGUGAAAGCAACUCCCUGGAACCUCACGACUGGUCACUCGCUUCUCGGAGAUUUGGCCAGAGCCAGCACCCAAAUCAGUGCAUUCUGGCUGGGCCUGGGCCUUGGUCUCUUCUUUUAGCUUGUGACAUUUAUUCUGCUCUCUCAUUUGUUUCUGGUGACUCUUGCUUUUGCUUUUGUCCAGGAUUCUCUGGGACUGUUGGUGAACCUCUGCCCUCCUUUUCUUCAGGUGACAUCACACCCCUGGCCUUCACCUAGUUCUUGUCACCAUCUGUGAUUAGGUGGGCUCGGGAUUCUCUGUUGGUUCGUCUACAAAUGGGAACAGCAUACGGUAGCAUACAGUGUCGAGGGGAACAAAGCAGGCUGGCAUUGAGAGCCUUGUCUCUGAGCACUCAUCUGAACGAGAUGACUGAGCACUCAAGAUGCUGUGCGCAAACUGGCAGGAAGCGUCCCCGUUUUCACCUCUCCUCUCCCCUGAGCCCAGGAGCAGGACUUACUCCUUGGACAGCCACACUGCUCCAUUUCCUCUUCCCUCUCUUUCCUGCUGGUGAGUCACCGAAUAAUGACAGGCUCCGUGAAUAGGCUAGGGACUCUUCUCGGAAAGAUUUCUAAUGUACCAGUGGGACAAAGGGAUCUUUUGAGCAUUUUGAGACAAUGAGGGAGACUCUAAAGAAUCUCUAAAGAAAGUGAAAAUUCAAAAGUUGAGUGACUGGUGCAGGGCAGGAUACAGUGGAGGAGUAUGUAGACAACGGUUUUGAGCUCUGUGUGUGUCUAAACCAGGGGGGAUUUUGCCCCUCCAGCAGACAUUCAGCAAUGGUGAGAGAUGCUUUUGGUUGUCUCCACUGGAGGGAAGGUGCCGCUGGCCUCUGGGGACCAGAGCUGCUGCUAGAUACCCUCAAGUGCACAGAAUAGCCCCCCACAGCUAAGACUCAUCUGGCUCAAAACCUUAAUAGUGCCGAGGCUGAGUUCCUACCAUAGAUGACAAACUAUGCACUUUAGACUCAAAGAUAUGCAAAUAUUGCUUUGAUCUUUGUAAUACUAAUAUCUAGGUAUCAAUAAUAAAAUCAACAUUAAUAUCAAUAAUAAAAUCAACACUGAUAUCAAUAUCAAUAUUAAUGUUCGAAUGACAAUUUUAUUAAGUGCUUCUUAUGUGCCAGACAAAUAUGUUAAUGAGUUGAAUCAUUACAAUAAAGCUUUUAAAUAGGUACUUUUACCAUCUUUAUUUUAUAUAGGAUGGAAAGGCUUGAGAGGUUACUUGGUUGUCUCAAGCCACAUACAACUACCCUUGACUGCCUCUCAUUCUGG